rnacentral:lncRNA from 1 species
UUUGAUCUGCAAAAGAGUCCUUGAAUUGCCAUAGGUAUUCGGUUUUGUGCCUUAGGGUCUGAUUUCAACCUAGAUUGCUAACUGGCCCUCCUCGGAUAUCCAUAUGUAGUUUUUCUAGGUAAUUUUUGCUAGAAUUUACUCUUAACUUCCUCCUAAAGAUGUGUAUAUCAUUCAAUUUUCCAAUCUACCUUAUUUUGCCUUAUUUUUGGCCCUACAAAGUAAGUAAAAGCUAUUUUUUCUAAAAAGGCAGCAUUACUACUAAAAGUUUUACUACCUUCCUAUCUUUUAUCCAUAUUUUUCUACUUUUUCUUUUAACUUGGCUCUUUUAUAAUAAGUUUCAUAUUAUUAUCUUUCACCAUAUAAUCAUGUUAUAAUAUG